rnacentral:rRNA from 1 species
UGCGAAGGGGGCUAGCGUUGCUCGGAAUCACUGGGCGUAAAGCGCACGUAGGCGGAUUGUUAAGUCAGGGGUGAAAUCCUGGAGCUCAACUCCAGAACUGCCUUUGAUACUGGCGAUCUCGAGUCCGGGAGAGGUGAGUGGAACUGCGAGUGUAGAGGUGAAAUUCGUAGAUAUCGCAAGAACACCAGUGGCGAGGCGGCUCACUGGCCCGGUACUGACGCUGAGGUGCGAAAGCGUGGGGAGCAAACAGGG